rnacentral:tRNA from 1 species
CAGGGAGACAACAAAAUGUAAAUAUUAAUUUUGUCACCUUAGGUCGAUCGGUAUCUCAGAUUCUUAUUAUUUAAGAAUUUCAGUUUCUAAGUUUUUUCUAGGUCACACCCAUCACUUUUUCCUGGGCCAUUAGCUCAGGUGGUUAGAGCGCACCCCUGAUAAGGGUGAGGUCCCUGGUUCAAGUCCAGGAUGGCCCAUAUCUCUAUGUUGGGGGUAUAGCUCAGUUGGUAGAGCGCCUGCUUUGCAAGCAGGAUGUCAGCGGUUCGAGUCCGCUUACCUCCACUGAAUACCACCUCUUACAUAUAAUUGAAGUGGGAAAUUGUUUUGAGUCGUGUCCUAAUUUGCUCUGAGCGAAUCUAGCUUCCUAUUUUAUCCAAGAAAUAAGAUGCUGGACUCAUUGAAUUUUUUUUCAUUGUUUUCAGAGAACCUUGACAACUGCAUAGAUUAUUUUUAAAGACAAUAAGCAUCUUUAAUGAUGCAGAUUUAUUAUUUGUGCGAAUGCAUUAAAUAACAAUUCUAUUAAGCUGAUGCUUCAAUUAUUGAAGUUAUU